rnacentral:lncRNA from 7 species
GAGAAAAAAAACCUGAAAAUACAUCUUGUAGAGGCUGAAGCCCUGGAAACUGAAAGGAUUUUCUCAUUCCUUGGGUCCAGCAGCAACAGCAUUUUGAAAUCAGGCUAAACUUCAGAUGCAUCUUGACCAACUGGAAAGGAGGUGCGAAUGAUGGAAAUGGACGUGAGGUUAAGAAGUGCAGGGCAAAAAUUUCAAGUCCUGCCCACUGAUAUCUCAUUAAAAAGGUCAGGCAGAAAUAAAGAACGAGCAGUAUGCCAGAACUACGAGAUGAAAAUGCAGAGUUCAGCCCUGAAAGAGCUAGAAGACACCUCGGGAAGGUCUGCCAUCCCACAGCAGUAAGCAGGCUUUGACUGACCUGACUGCACUUUGCCUUUUACAACAGCCAAAUCUGGCUUCAGCAGGAUCUGAUCCUUGUCAAAGCAUCCCCUAAGGGUCCCCAAAGUGCGGGUAUCGCUUGCAGUCUGCUACUGAAAGUGCCCUGUGUUAUUCUGCUCCUGCAGUCAAGUGGCUCUGGAAACAAAGCUGGGGAAACGUAAUACCUUUUAUUAGAAGGGUUGAUACACAAUGGAAAAAGCUGAUUUGUUUUUUGAGUAUUUCAGCUCUGAAAAGGCAGGAAAGGUGCUGGUGUGCCCAGAAGCCUGUUUGGUUUUUUAUUUAUUAAUCCAUUUGAACCUGAAAUCGUGUUGCUAUCGAUGGUGUUGACACACCCGAGCAUGUAAAUAGCUGCUUGACCUCAUCACUGUAAGCCCGACUCUGUAAUGUUCACGUUCUCUGUUGCUGUUCCCUGCACUGUUGACACAUGCUGAGCAGGCUCCCAUGAGGUCUGCUUAUGUUUUACGAGUAUGAAAUCUGUCCUCACGUCCUCCCUACAGUUAAUGCAGGGAUAGUUCAGGGGACCCUACUGCCGUGACCAGGCUGGGAGGAGGAUCGCAUAGCUGAAACCCAAAACCAAACCUGAAGUCUUCAAUGAGAUUCAGUGGGGUCUGUGCAAAAAGAGGACAGGGGACUUUGCAGGCUUUUUUCUUUUUUUUUCUUUUUUCUUUUUCCUCCUUUUUUCCUCUUUUUCUUUUUUUUUCUACGUCAUUCUGUCUCCCUUCCCUGAGUAACCCAACUUGCAGAGGCUCACACAGUGUUCCCCCCCCAAAAAUAUUUAUUUUGAGAGCCUGAAAAGCAAGUCCAUAUCCAGAGCAUCUUUUACCAGCCUGCUGUGACUGGGCAAUGAAAAGGACAGAAGUGCUGAAAGGAGGAUACCUGAGAACGGCCCACUUCAGGAUCUAUCGGCUUAGGGGAGCAGGACAGUGAGGGUGGAAGGGGAACUAUAUGCAGCACUUUAGGAAGGUGAAAUUAGGAAGAGCAGGACGCAGUAGCUCAAAGCACAUCCUUUGCUGUCUGGAAGGAAGUGAGAUUCCCCCUGUGAUGAGAGGGACCGUGCCAGCUCCAACACCAUGCCCAGCUGCACCUUACUCUUGUCUCCAUGCACCUUGAAGGAAAACUGUGCUCCCUUUGGUACCAGGCCAUGUGCUGCUGCCUGGGCAGGACACAGCCACCACCCUUUGGACAGCCUUGUGUGGGCCACCACAGACCGGGUCAUGGGGAGCGGAAGGCACCUCACUGCACUUAUAGAAGGAUCAGAAGCCGGAGAGGGAAAUGUCUAUGGGUUUGCAAGGCCAGAGGAUGAGGCGUGUAAAGCAGCAGGGUGGCUCAGCAGAGUCAUGUAAAUAAUUGCCUGCGUGGCUCUCUGGCAGAGAUG